GACACCUGCUUGGUGGGCGGGCCUGGGCCUCCCGGCUGGCCGCGUUGCGGCUGUCAGGCUGAGUGCGCUUUUUGCGGAGCAGCUACUGAAAAUUACCAAGGACAGGUAGGAGAUAAAAGAUACCUAUAAAGGAGCUGAAAUGUAGCAGAUCACAGUGAUUUAUAUGACAGCUGCUAGCCCAAGAGCUAGUUCCAGAAGAGGGCUACCUUACAGAUGCUGUGGCAGGUAGCAGAGGUAUGUAGCCACUGUUUACCCACAGGUUGCAGGUGUGGAGAACAAGGUCUA